GUGACAAAGAUCUCCUCCGUGAGACCCAGUCUCCUCAUCUGUACAAUGGCAAGCCACAGAAGGACGAGGAGUACCAGCGACCGAUUCAUAGCACCCUUGAGCGUCCUACAAGUGUGAGGGCUCCUUUCCUGGCUGAGCAGGGGAGGACAUGAGACAGGCCCCAUCUCAGCUGAGAGGCAAGGUGGGGUCCUCUGAAGGGGAUCCAGGGAACGCAAGUGGUUGGAAUCUACUGCCUUGUCUCCUAGACGAUUGCAUGUGUGAGGUCACCAGUGGAAUGUGCUCUGAGCCUACUAACUGUAAAAAUAUGCGGACUUAUAGAUACAGCAAGAGCCUAUAUAACACCUCACAUCACAAAGAACGAUCCCUUCAGAGAAGUGCCGCAUUGAAAUAACAGUCAUGAGGCCGCCUUCUGAGAUAAAUGCUGGAGUUUGGCUCUAAAUGCCAACAUCCUUAGCUAAUCUAAGUAAUGCAUGCGCAGGAAGAAUUUGGUGGCCGGGAGCCCAAGUGGAGUUGUAUAAAGAACUCUUAAGAGCAGCUAGUAACCUCUGAGCAGUAGGCCCAAGUGCAUGGGCUUCUUUUCUAUGGAACAGGACAAUGGGGAAGCCCUGGUCCUCCAGAGCGUCAAGCGGAUUUGCCUUCUUGAGAGGAGGAGAAGCAAACUACUUUCUUGUCCUGCCUGCAUUAAAAGCCUACAAGAAAAGAACCCUCCGUUCAUUUCUCACCUUGAUUAUCAGCCAUACAUUGCAGAAAGAAGAUGCUGGCUGGCAAUCCAGGUCUGGCUGGAGACUUCUCGAGGAAGAAAUCCCAUUGUGCCAUGUAACACUGAUCACUUUAUGCUGUGCAGAGGAUCCCACCAAGGAAUAUUCAGGCCCCGGAGGAAUCACU
rnacentral:lncRNA from 12 species